rnacentral:rRNA from 1 species
GACGUAGGAGGCGAGCGUUGUCCGGAGUCACUGGGCGUAAAGGGCGCGUAGGCGGCCCUGCGCGCCGGGGGUGAAAGGCCGCGGCUCAACCGCGGGACGGCCUCCGGGACGGCAGGGCUGGGGGGCGGCAGGGGCGGACGGAAUUCCCGGUGUAGUGGUGAAAUGCGUAGAUAUCGGGAGGAACACCCGCAGCGAAGGCGGCCCGCUGGGCCGACCCCGACGCUGAGGCGCGAAGGCCGGGGGAGCGAACGG